rnacentral:rRNA from 1 species
CUACGGGACGCUGCAGUGAGGAAUAUUGCACAAUGGAGGAAACUCUGAUGCAGCAACGCCGCGUGGAGGAUGACGCAUUUCGGUGUGUAAACUCCUUUUAUAUGUCAAGAAAAUGACGGUAGCAUAUGAAUAAGCUCCGGCUAACUCCGUGCCAGCAGCCGCGGUAAUACGGAGGGAGCAAGCGUUACUCGGAAUCACUGGGCGUAAAGGACGCGUAGGCGGGAUAGAAAGUCAGGUGUGAAAUCCUAUGGCUCAACCAUAGAACUGCACUUGAAACUUCUAACCUAGAGUAUGGGAGGGGAAGAUGGAAUUAGUGGUGUAGGGGUAAAAUCCGUAGAUAUCACUAGGAAUACCAAAAGCGAAGGCGAUCUUCUGGAACAAUACUGACGCUAAGGCGUGAAAGCGUGGGGAGCAAACAGGAUUAGAUACCCCGGUAGUC